rnacentral:lncRNA from 1 species
UAAUAUCCCUGUUUUGGGACAAAAACUGACGCAUGCAGGUCCCCAUCAAUGGCGGAACCCACAACUGCGCCAUCAAGGAGGCAUGGCGGAACUGUCACUUUUGCCAUUGGGCCCACCUGCUUUUUUCUUUUCUUUUCUUUCUCGUUUUCUCUUUAUUUUGGGGGAAGGAAACUUUACUUUCCCUUUUCUCUCUCUUCCAUCAAUCCACCAUUUUUCUUUCACCACAAAACAACCACCCCCUAUCACUACAUAACCACCUCCACGUUCAUCACCAUCUCCCAUCACAACCAUCAUCAUCUCAAAAACCAAAAACAAAAAGAAACAUAACCAAAUAAAAGNNN